GGAAACUCACGCUAAUACCGCAUACGCCCUACGGGGGAAAGCGGGGGCUCUUCGGACCUCGCGCUAUCAGAUGAGCCUGCGUUAGAUUAGCUAGUUGGUAGGGUAAAGGCCUACCAAGGCGACGAUCUAUAGCUGGUCUGAGAGGACGAUCAGCCACACUGGGACUGAGACACGGCCCAGACUCCUACGGGAGGCAGCAGUGGGGAAUAUUGGACAAUGGGCGCAAGCCUGAUCCAGCAAUACCGCGUGUGUGAAGAAGGCCUUAGGGUUGUAAAGCACUUUCAAUGGGGAGGAAAACCUGCCGGUCAAUACCCGGUAGCUUGACAUUACCUUUAGAAGAAGCACCGGCUAACUCCGUGCCAGCAGCCGCGGUAAUACGGAGGGUGCGAGCGUUAAUCGGAAUUACUGGGCGUAAAGCGUGCGUAGGCGGUUCGUUAAGUCAGAUGUGAAAGCCCCGGGCUUAACCUGGGAACUGCAUUUGAAACUGGCGGACUAGAGUUGAGUAGAGGGGAGUGGAAUUUCAGGUGUAGCGGUGAAAUGCGUAGAUAUCUGAAGGAACACCAGUGGCGAAGGCGACUCCCUGGACUCAAACUGACGCUGAGGUACGAAAGCGUGGGUAGCAAACAGGAUUAGAUACCCUGGUAGUC
rnacentral:rRNA from 1 species